rnacentral:rRNA from 1 species
GACGAACGCUGGCGGCGUGCUUAACACAUGCAAGUCGAACGGAAAGGCCCUGCUUUUGUGGGGUGCUCGAGUGGCGAACGGGUGAGUAACACGUGAGUAACCUGCCCUUGACUUUGGGAUAACUUCAGGAAACUGGGGCUAAUACCGGAUAGGAGCUCCUGCUGCAUGGUGGGGGUUGGAAAGUUUCGGCGGUUGGGGAUGGACUCGCGGCUUAUCAGCUUGUUGGUGGGGUAGUGGCUUACCAAGGCUUUGACGGGUAGCCGGCCUUAGAGGGUGACCGGCCACAUUGGGACUGAGAUACGGCCCAGACUCCUACGGGAGGCAGCAGUGGUGAAUAUUGCACAAUGGGCGGAAGCCUGAUGCAGCAACGCCGCGUGCGGGAUGACGGCCUUCGGGUUGUAAACCGCUUUCGCCUGUGACGAAGCGUGAGUGACGGUAAUGGGUAAAGAAGCACCGGCUAACUACGUG